UGGCUUUCCCACAAUGUGUGCCCUGAGACUGUGCUCAGUGUUUUGUGAUCUCUGCUGCCCUGAAGGUAUGUGCCCACCCCUUUCAAAGCUCUGGGAAGUAUCUGACAGCUGAGUGAGCUGCUCCAUUUGGGGAAAAAAGAUGGAAUAAGUCAUUGGUGUGCUCCUUCCUGUUUUGCCCUGCUAAGGACACAAUGGCAGGCAGACUGCUGCUGCAGGGGGAGGCCUGGAGAGACUGCUGUGGUGCUUUGACAUUCCUCAGCAUGGAGAGGCUCGCAGAGCAGUUCUGCUUUCUCACAACACUGCACUGUGGAAUGCUCACUCACAUUGCUUUGCUCUGUCCACAGCGGAGUUAGCAAUGUGGCCAUGAAAUGUUGACAAAGGGAGGCAUAAAAACUGGUUUUCACUUUGGCAACUUUUGCAUGUCAACAGCAGUUUUGUCAUCAAAACUUCCCAGUGUAGAUAUAAAUUCCCAGUAUAGAUGUAGUCUUAAUAUUGUAAAAAUAGACAUUAGAAUUAUAAAAAUGUGUUUUAGUGUUUAGACUUCAUUGAAUGCUUGUGAGUUGCUACCUGCUUUAAUCUCACUUGUAACUUGUACAUCCCGUAUUGUAAGGUAAUAUUUGAACUGCUGUAUUGUGAACUUCUUGGCUAUGUAAAGAGCAGAAUAGAGACAUUAAUUAGUGUGAAGGCUGAUUUUCAACACAAGGUCUUAUGCCCUUCCCAGAAGGAGAGGCCCAUUGAUACCAGAAAGACUGUUCUGGGAAGUUACAAUUAGAGUGUUUUUGUUCUGCACUUCUGUGAAGAUGAGUCAUGCAACUGGAUUCCUCUCAUCAGCUGAAUUUGCAGCUCAGAGCACAAGAAGGGGGAUACAAACUGCAAACAAAAGGAACUUGAAAAUCUCUAUGUUACUUAGGCUCUGGGGCACAAGGAUUUUGUAGACAUAAGCAUGAGAGCCCCAGCUGUUUAACCUGGGUUCGCUCUAAAGCACAUAUCAGCAGGCUAUAUAAUGGAAACAUUUAUUACCUUUUGGAACUUAAGAUUGUAACUCGUUUGUGUAUAUGUGUUUACCUGCUUUAAUCUUGUAAAUCUCUCUUUUUCUUUUACUAUGUAAUACUAUUUUAUAUAGCUGCUUAUAGGAUUGACUACAGACAUUGUCAUUGGUGUGAGAUCUAAAGUACAACUGAUCUUGGAGGCUCCACACACUGAAAGGAAAAACCUAAUCUUUGCAUCAACAUGGAGCAUCCUGCAUGCAAUGUACUGCAAUGAUUACAGCCUCUGAUCUUACUAAUUCUCUUCUCAGACUGCUAUGGGAUAACCUAUGCUUCAGGAUCAAGGCCAACUCCAUUAUUGAGAGAAUUUGGAUACAAAAAGGAUUAACAAAAAGUAAUGCUAUAAUACAAGAUGCUAGGUGGCUUAAUACUUAAUACAAUUAUGGCUCAAAGAAAAAUGGAAAAAAAGAGACUAGCUUUCCUAUUGCAACAGAAACCUCGGAGGAUAUCUGGUUUCAUGUGAAAGAUAUUUAAAGGUCUUUAUCCUUGUGAUUCUUCCAGAACAAAAUAUUAAACAGCUACUAUUGAACUCCAGAAUGUUUGUUUUAAGACUAGACUGACAACACACAGUGAAUGUUGGAGAUACAAUCAAUCACAUGUCAAUCUUUCGCAUACCCUCAAUACCUAUCUCAAAUGCAUGUAUUCUGGAACACUAUAUUCAGUGCUCACUCAAAAAAAUGUAAGUCUUACUUUCUUUCUUUCUCUCUCAAAUCUUGUGUAUUUUAGUGGUGCUGGCAUAAUCAAUUAACAUUUAUAAAUGGAUUGCAAUAACUUUUAGUGGCCAAGACAUUUCUUUUGAGAAAAUGAAAGUCUGAAUUUCUCCCUCAUAUGCAGACUGGUUUAGUGAGCUCUCUACUAUUGUGUGAAUGGAAAAAAUGACUCUAACAGAAACACUUGGAAAAAAUACAAGGACAUCUGGUCAAAUAUAAAACUAUUAAAUACUAAACUGCAAAAAUAUACAUUAGUCCCUCACACUCACAGGUUAUGUUCUCACUUACCUAUUUAGUCACUGUGAUUGAAGCACUGCAGGAGCUUUGUGAGUUCAGGUUUUGCAAAUAAUGAAUUUUCUUUAUGUACUGUUUCAGUCUUGUGCAUGUAUUUAUAUAUUUUUUGGUUUUCAACAUGUUUGUUUUUAUUGUAAUAUUAAAAACAACGUUUAAAAAUACUAUGUUAGGUUCCCACUAAUGGCCAGGCUAAGGAAAAUGGAAAGAUUCUUUGGAUAUGAAACAUGCAAAUGAGAAACUCAAUGAUGACCCUCAACAAUAUUGACCCAACUGGACAAGACAUUUCAAAAUGGCUCCAACUCAUUUGUUUGAUACUAGGUUGUUUUUAUGCUAUCAAAAAGGCUGAAUAUUAUUUUUUAGGAAGACUUACAUGGUAUAUCAUUCACACUAAGGGGUACAUGUGUUUCUCCUCUUGUUACAACUUCCAGUUCCUAUACUCUGAAGACUGUUCUCUCACAUCUGAAUUUCUAGCAUCUCCAUGUUUGUUGACAAUGCGCAUGAUUAAAAUGGUAUUUUCAUAUUUCAGUGCAGUUGAGGCCCCUUAAAGCAGAGGGCUGCAAGUGCAAAAAAGAGAUAUGUUGUUCCCUAAUGGCUUAUUACCAUCACAUUUGCAAUUCAGAUCAGUUCUAAAUUGACUGAAUUUUUUAAACACAUAGCAGGCAGUUUAAACUAAUGAUUGUCUGGAGGUUCACAUCUGACAUGAACUAAGCUUCUGUUCAAAACAAAUUGCAAAUAAUUCCUCCCUUAGAGUCAAAAUGUCACUUUUUAAACUGUGCAUUGUUGCCAGAUUUUGUCAGUUACAUAAAAAAACCCUUCCCAUACAGUGACUACUCUACAGUUGAAAGUACUGGCUUUUUUAUUGCUUUGUUUAAAAGAAUAUAUAUAUUCACAUCUCAAUAGUCUGACUAAAAAUCCUUUCCCCGCCCCCCUCAAAAAUCCUAAUGGUAAAGUAAAAGGCCCUUGGGGCAGUGGUAGGCCUGAGUUGCUUAGCAACCCUCAGCAGGUAGUAGAGAUUCAGCUGCAGCUGUCCUGAUUCUUUCCUAAGAAUCUCCUUAUUACUGUUUGUGUUAAUCUUUAACCAGGCUUUUAAGCCAUGGUCUUUCUCUUUGGUCCCUUGUUGUUAGAUUGCAGAGGCCUACUCAAAUGUUAUCCCAAAGGUAAUGUAUUAAGGAUGACUAUUGAAUGCUUGAAGAAUGAUAAGCUCUGAAAGGAUUAGACUUGCAUGUUCUAACUAACUUUAUUUUACAUGCCAUGCUCAAUAUUAUGAAAAUUGUACCCUCUUAGGAAAAAUGGUCAGUUUUGACACACAGCUUUAAACUUGCUUUUUCUUCCAGCUGAAUAAAUUUGGUAAAGCUGCCUCUACGUCAUUGCUUCUUUUAACAUAUUCUCCUGCAAUGAUCAGUCAAGGAAGUAAUUCAAAAUUCAGCAUUUCAAAGUCUUUCAAAGCAUAGGCAAAAAGCCAAUCCCCGUCCCCCAUGCCCACCCUGAAAAAAUCUAGGAGUAUUUGUGAGCAUAUAUUAUUGAGAAUUGAGACAGCCUUUUCCUUGAAAGAAAUAGUCCUGCUAGUACAUGUUAGAGAAUCUAGAUAAUCUCACUGCUUGGUAGUUGUUCAUGGGAAGGUUGUUGCAAAUUUCUAAAGGAAGAAAAUUAAUAACAAGAAAAAAAUCCAGCUCUGAUACCACCCUUUUUAUGCUCUUUUUUCACUCUCAUUGUUAUGGGAGCAAAUAAAUACAGGCACAAUGAAUGUUGUUCACGUAGACAUGCUAAUUGAUUUGUUCUCAAAGUGUUUGCGUGCACGUAAAAAAGGCCUAUACUGUACAUCUCCUCUGAGAAAGUUCUUUACUUUCAGCUGCCAGUUACAUUUUAAACUUGAUGUUAUAUAUUGAUGUGAUGUGAUCAACAAUAUGUUACAUGUUCCCAAACCCUAUGUAUGAUGCAUCAACAUAUCAUUCGUGUUACCUCUUUGGGUAACAACUAUAGGGAAAUGGUAGUACAGUAGAAAGUGGAAUUUGGGUAAUUUUGGGGGAGAAGACCAAUAUUCUCCACUCUCUAGUUCUGAUAUCUUGUGUAGCCAUUUAAAUAAUCUGGUUACUUUGCCGCCCUUCCUCAUUUCUCUCCUUUGCCAGAUGCUUCUAAAAUUAAUCUAAAUUAUAGAGCUGGCUGGAAUUUUGCAAGAGGAAAAAUAUCUCACCAAAAAUAUGAUUUAGUAGAACCCAUUUUUUUGUGAGCUGGAAAAUGUCUAUUCCAAUGGGUGAAAAAAAACCUUAAUUUUUCUCACAAGACAUUUUGAAACAAUUUU